AUGGGAACGCGAAGAACCUUACCUAGACUUGACAUCUUCUGCAUUAAUCGUAAUGGAUGAAAUCCCUUCGGGGACAGAAUGACAGGUGGUGCAUGGUUGUCGUCAGCUCGUGUCGUGAGAUGUUGGGUUAAGUCCCGCAACGAGCGCAACCCCUAUUAUUAGUUGCUAACAUUAAGUUGAGCACUCUAGUGAGACUGCCCGGGUUAACCGGGAGGAAGGUGGGGAUGACGUCAAAUCAUCAUGCCCCUUAUGUCUAGGGCUACACACGUGCUACAAUGGUGGGAACAAAGAGAUGCAAGACCGCGAGGUGGAGCUAAACUCAAAACCCCAUCCCAGUUCGGAUUGUAGGCUGAAACUCGCCUACAUGAAGCUGGAGUUGCUAGUAAUCGCGAAUCAGAAUGUCGCGGUGAAUACGUUCCCGGGUCUUGUACACACC
rnacentral:rRNA from 1 species